UACGUAGGGGGCAAGCGUUGUCCGGAAUCAUUGGGCGUAAAGAGCUUGUAGGCGGUUUGUCGCGUCUGCUGUGAAAUUUCGGGGCUCAACCCCGAACUUGCAGUGGGUACGGGCAGACUAGAGUGUGGUAGGGGAGACUGGAAUUCCUGGUGUAGCGGUGAAAUGCGCAGAUAUCAGGAGGAACACCGAUGGCGAAGGCAGGUCUCUGGGCCGGUACUGACGCUGAGGAGCGAAAGCGUGGGGAGCGAACAGG
rnacentral:rRNA from 1 species